GUGGGGAAUCUUGCGCAAUGGGCGAAAGCCUGACGCAGCCAUGCCGCGUGAAUGAUGAAGGUCUUAGGAUUGUAAAAUCCUUUCACCGGUGAAGAUAAUGACUGUAGCCGGAGAAGAAGCCCCGGCUAACUUCGUGCCAGCAGCCGCGGUAAUACGAAGGGGGCUAGCGUUGCUCGGAUUUACUGGGCGUAAAGGGCGCGUAGGCGGACAUUUAAGUCAGGGGUGAAAUCCCGGGGCUCAACCUCGGAACUGCCUUUGAUACUGGGUGUCUUGAGUAUGAGAGAGGUGUGUGGAACUCCGAGUGUAGAGGUGAAAUUCGUAGAUAUUCGGAAGAACACCAGUGGCGAAGGCGACACACUGGCUCAUUACUGACGCUGAGGCGCGAAAGCGUGGGGAGCAAACAGGAUUAGAUACCCUGGUAGUCC
rnacentral:rRNA from 1 species